rnacentral:sRNA from 1 species
GGAUGUGAGGGCGAUCUGGCUGCAACAUCUGUCACCCCAUUGAUGGCCAGGGUCGAUUCGGCAGAUCUGGCUGGCUAGGCGGGUGUCCCCUUCCUCCCUUACUGCUCUGUGUGCGUCCCUCCCUCCGGAAGCUGCGGGCUUGGAGGAAGAGGACGACCUUCCCCACAUAAAGGAGGAGUGGCACUCCCCCACUAGGACCUCCAUACAAGCUCUCAAUAUGGAACCAAGGAUGACUUUGAACUCCAGACCCUUCUGCCUCUACUU